rnacentral:rRNA from 1 species
UAGAGGAAGUAAAAGUCGUAACAAGGUCUCCGUUGGUGAACCAGCGGAGGGAUCAUUACCGAGUUUACAACUCCCAAACCCCUGUGAACAUACCUUUAUGUUGCCUCGGCGGAUCAGCCCGCGCCCCGUAAAACGGGACGGCCCGCCGCAGGAAACCCUAAACUCUGUUUUUAGUGGAACUUCUGAGUAUAAAAAACAAAUAAAUCAAAACUUUCAACAACGGAUCUCUUGGUUCUGGCAUCGAUGAAGAACGCAGCAAAAUGCGAUAAGUAAUGUGAAUUGCAGAAUUCAGUGAAUCAUCGAAUCUUUGAACGCACAUUGCGCCCGCCAGUAUUCUGGCGGGCAUGCCUGUUCGAGCGUCAUUUCAACCCUCAAGCCCAGCUUGGUGUUGGGAUCUGUUUGUCACAAAACAGUCCUCAAAUUGAUUGGCGGUCACGUCGAGCUUCCAUAGCGUAGUAAUUUACACAUCGUUACUGGUAAUCGUCGCGGCCACGCCGUUAAACCCCAACUUCUGAAUGUUGACCUCGGAUCAGGUAGGAAUACCCGCUGAACUUAAGCAUAUCAAU